GGACCAGCACUGACACUGAGGCACGAAAGCGUGGGGAGCAAACAGGAUUAGAUACCCUGAUAGUCCACGCCCUAAACGAUGCGAACUGGAUGUUGGGGGCAACUUGGCCCUCAGUAUCGAAGCUAACGCGUUAAGUUCGCCGCCUGGGAAGUACGGUCGCAAGACUGAAACUCAAAGGAAUUGACGGGGGCCCGCACAAGCGGUGGAGUAUGUGGUUUAAUUCGACGCAACGCGAAGAACCUUACCUGGGCUCGAACGGCUUCGGCAAGCUGGUGGAAACACUGGCCCUGCCGCAAGGCAUCGGAGUCGAGGUGCUGCAUGGCUGUCGUCAGCUCGUGUCGUGAGAUGUUGGGUUAAGUCCCGCAACGAGCGCAACCCUUGUCCUGUGUUGCCAGCAUUUAGUUGGGCACUCUCAGGAGACCGCCAGCGAUAAGCUGGAGGAAGGUGGGGAUGACGUCAAGUCAUCAUGGCCUUUAUGUCCAGGGCUACACACGUGCUACAAUGGCCGGUACAAUGCGCUGCAAACCCGCGAGGGUGAGCUAAUCGCAUAAAGCCGGUCUCAGUUCGGAUUGCAGGCUGCAACUCGCCUGCAUGAGGCUGGAAUCGCUAGUAAUGGCGUAUCAGAAUGACGCCGUGAAUACGUUCCCGGGCCUUGUACACACCGCCCGUCACAUCACGAAAGUGGGUUGUACUAGAAGUUACACGCCAACCGCAAGGAGGCAGUGCCCAAG
rnacentral:rRNA from 1 species